GUGGCUACAUGCUACGACGGGUAGCCGGCCUGAGAGGAUGAACAGGCCACACUGGGACUGAGAUACGGCCCAGACUCCUACGGGAGGCAGCAGUGGGGAAUCUUGCGCAAUGGGCGAAAGCCUGACGCAGCAACGCCGCGUGAGGGAUGAAGGCCUUCGGGUUGUAAACUCCUGUCAGGGGGGAAGAAGGGCCUGGGUUUAAUAUCCUUGGGCUGAGACUACCCCCAAAGGAGCCUUCCGGCUUCUACGUGGC
rnacentral:rRNA from 1 species